rnacentral:lncRNA from 1 species
CUCACACCAAUAUGUCUUGAUUUGCCAUUGUAUACUUGACUAUAAGCCUUUGCCAAUGUUGCAGCAUUAUCACAAUGUAUUGCUAUUUGUUAAACUCGCUUUUAGUCGCAUCAAAGCCAACAAACUUGAUUUCCCCACUAAUGAAAUAUAGUGGUCAACCAAGGAUCAAUCCAAGGACUCAUUGAAAUUAAGUCUAAAGUGUAAACACUUGCCUCCUUUCCAAGCUUGCUCAUGACGCUUUAAUCUUCUCUUCAUUGGACGGUCAACACUUGCCUCCUUUCCAAGCCCUCCGAUCAUCUCCACGUCAUCUUUUCUAGUCAGCUCCGGUCAAGGUCCGGUCAGGGGCUCAAGCUUCUUCUUCCUUUCUCGCCUUGCUUUUUCUGUGUCGCGCAAGAGCCCUAGCUCAUGGGUUCUCUCCUUUUCCUCCAAAUGAUUUUCUCGGGCAGCUUUGCAAAUGGAAAUGAGGGGAAGAAACCCCUGCACAGUAGUGAUGCACCAGACGACGCCGUUCCACUUAAUUGGAACCAAACUCAGCUUCAGACCUCAAAACGACAGCGUUCCAGUGUCUCGGCCCAAUUAUAGCAGCAAUGUUUUUAUUAGAAUCUGCAGGCCUUAUCCUCCC